AACAGUUAUACCUCGUUUCGGUCCAUACUCCCCUGACUUUGAUGGCUUCAGUGUUGCACAAACUUUGAGAUAUUGGUCAUACAUCACAAGAAGUAAAAGCUUCAAAGAGUCAAUGUUGAAGGCUUGCUAAGUUGUAUUCUGAAUUUCUUUGGCAUGCCACUAGGAUAAAUUACUAGGUCUCAUAUGAUUUUUUCAAAAGUGGCCACAAAGAAGACAGACUACCAAAUAGAGCUUCAAGCUCCUUGAGUGUAAUUCAUUUUUAAUGAGAAUAGAAAACCAAUUAAAUAAGAUUUGAA
rnacentral:lncRNA from 1 species